rnacentral:rRNA from 1 species
UGAGAGGAGCUGUCCUUAGUACGAGAGGACCGGGAUGGACACACCGCUGGUGUACCAGUUGUUCCGCCAGGAGCAUCGCUGGGUAGCUAUGUGUGGCAGGGAUAAACGCUGAAAGCAUCUAAGCGUGAAGCCCCCCUCAAGAUGAGAUUUCCCAUUUCUUCGGAAAGUAAGAUCCCUGAAAGAUGAUCAGGUAGAUAGGUUUGGAGUGGAAGUGUAGCGAUACAUGGAGCGGACAAAUACUAAUCGAUCGAGGACUUAACCAAAAA